CUUCUCCUCUCACUCUUUACUCCCCCUUUAGGUUUCCGUAGCCUUUGUGAGAGGGACCAAGGCAAUGUCUCCGAAAACGUUCUCUAUAAGGCUGCCAUAAAGGUUGUUGACAUUUUCACCGUCAUGGCCGUCCCCCGGAAGACAUUCUAGAAACCCUAGGAGACUUCACAAGCAAAGAGAACUGGGACAAGUUCUUCACCCUUCGCGGCGAUUCCUUCGAGUGGUAUGUUGAAUGGCCCAACCUCAGGGGCCCACUCCUCUCCCUCCCCAAAACCGUUCCUCUCCCGCUUCAGCUCCUCGUCCCCGGCUGUGGCAACUCUCGCCUCUCUGAGCACCUCCACGACGCCGGCCACACCGCCAUCACCAACAUCGACUUCUCCAAGAUCGUCAUCUCCAACAUGCUCUGCCGCAACAUCCGUGACCGUCCCCUCAUGCGAUGGCACAUCAUGGACAUGACUGCCAUGCAGUUCAAGGAUGAGAGCUUCGGUGCGGUUAUUGACAUAGGUGGACUGGAUGCUUUGAUGGAGCCCGAACUUGGCCCCAAAUUGGGGAACCAGUACUUAUCAGAGGUGAAGAGAGUUUUAAAGCUUGGGGCCAAGUUUGUGUGCCUUACCUUGGCUGAAUCUCAUGUACUAAAUGGAAAGGAAUGAAAUUGAGGCUGAACUUGAAAAUAGCAGGAAGUCUUUAACUGAUUAAAUGAUGCCUGAUGCUUCAUAUAUUCAGAAAAAGGAUUCUAGCAUUCUUGGUGAUGUGAGCCAAAACUUCAUAGCAAUAUGCGCUUUGUAGCUGAACCACUUCCUUAUAGCUCAAGAAGAAGAGAUGAGUCAGAGUUCAAUUUGAGAGGAUGGGCAGUGAAAGCUUGAAUCAGCCAUGAGGUAACCAACUGCAGAAGGAAAUGCAUAAUGUUUCUCAAAAUCCUGGUACAAAUGAUGGUAGGGCAUAUGUUACAAAAGGAAAAGUAGCAGGAGCUAUGCAUAAAAAGCAACCAAAGCCUUCAUAUGAUGCAAAGUCAGAGGCUGCCCAAGUGGUGAAUGGUUGCAAUGGAUACAGUGUAUACUCAGGACCGGCACCAGUCUCUGGAUAUAGUUCUAGGUAUUACUGCUACUUGUAGUGGUUUGAUGCUAAGGGCAGUAUGCUGGUUAUAAUUGGAGGAAAUGCAAAGGUAUCAUGCUGGCAGCUGCACUAGUGCAGUUAAUAACAGUGCGGUUACUGUAGUACAUGUGAUUAAGGUACUACAUAUUUCAAAUAAAUGUCGUCGUGAUACAGCUUGUGCUUCAGUCCCUGAUAGCUAGUAGCUUUUUUUCUUACAACAACGAUUGAUUUUAUAUACUUGACGGCAUUUUGAAACUUGAAAAACUCUACUUUAAACCCGGUUCAUUUAUAUGUUCUUAUGCAUUUAAAUGAUUGAGAUAUUACAAGGAGUUUUAUCUAUUGUAACCAACUAAACAUUUCCUCCCUUUUCAAAUUAGAGAAUUGGUAAAUAAAGGGUUGAAAAGUAUCUAUUUCUUUGAUUAUGUUGGUUCUGAAUAAUGGUUUAUGUUUCAAAUCUAUUUUGAUAUUCUAUCCUAAUAUACUUCAAAACAGUGGCAUACUUAUUCACUAAUCACUAGAGAUUGUUAUACUAUAAUUUGUAAGAACUGUUCAAAACUUUAAAUAUUUAUCCUUCUGGCUGUGUUGACUAAAUAAGUGAAGUAAAUGGGUCUUUUGCUUCUGCUUCUUGGUUUUAUCUUGCCUCCCAGUGAUGGUAUUGGUGUUGUUGUUGAUGCUUCUGUGUUUCACGAGUCGUUUCUUGCUGGCAGUAUUGAGAUCAUCAGGGUUAAAGGAAAUAACAACGAAAGCCAACAAGAAGACUUUGAGCUACCUUUUUAUGACUUUUCCUCAAUAUUAAAUUCCGCAAAUAGCUUCUAAGAUCACGAUAAGCUUGGCAAAAGUAGUUUUGGGCCUGUGUACAGGGGAACACUACAACAUGGACAAGAGAUUGCUGCUAAGAGGCUUUCACAAACAUAUGGACAAGGUUUAAAAGAAUUUAACAAUGAGGUUAUGUUAUGCGCCGAACUUCAACAUCAAAAUCUUGUUGAAUUUCUUGGAUGUUGCAUUAAAGAAGAUGAGAAAUUGCUAAGAUAUGAAUAUAUGGCGAACAGAAGCUUAGACUUCUUUCUUUUUGGUUAGUGUCUGUAUAUCUACUUGUUAAUUGAAUGAAGAAUUUCAUUCCUAUGGUUCUUGCAAGAUUAAAGAAGAUAAACAUGACAUUUGACAGAUUCUAACCGAACUAAACUUUUUGACUGGCCUAAGCGUUUGUACAUUAUAAAUGAAGUUGCUCGUGGACUACUUCAUCUCCAUGAAGACUCAAGACUAAGGAUCGUACACAAAGAUCUUAAG